CUUUCUGCCUAGCUCUAGCUCAUGGUUGUUAUCCUGUCCUCACUCUUCCUGGGCUUAGCAGAGGUCAUGUUCUUGCUUGUGCUUUCUGCUAAGUGAGACAAGACCUUCAUGCCUUCCUCUCCAGCUUCUCAGUAGAGGCAUGCAGAACAUACCCAAUGUCACAAACAAACCUCGAGUGGGCAAGCAAGAAGCCAGGAAUCAGAUGCUGGCUUGAAUCCAGAGGCUGAUGUGGGCCCAAAACCUGCCUGAAAAAUGGAACAAAGGGAAGACAUUGGCCUAAGAGAACACAAGAGAUGCUGCUAAGGUCAUUUAUAGCUUGUAGAAGACUACAAGUAGUCUCAUUUCAGCCAGGACUGGAUACAGGUGAUAAUAGACUGAAAACCUGCAGUACCUGGAAGUACCUGGAAGUUCUUUUCUUCAGAAGUCAAAUCUGCCAAAGCCUUGCUUGGUUUUAGUUGUCCCAGCUUCCAGUAUUUUGAAAAAAUGGAUUUCUGCUGCUGUCUCUAAGAUUUGUUUUUGUUUUUUGUUUGUUUGUUUUAUGUGUUUUGUUUUUUAAUGCUAUUUCUGUUAUAGCAGUCACACUGGACUAAGUCAUAAGAAUGAAGAAUCAAUAUUUCUUGAAAAUCCAUAUCUGAGUUGGUAGUAACUUACCCAGCUUCACAUCGAUGUGUCAGAACGUGCCCUACUUAUUCGCCUCCUGCUCUCUCUUUUUCCCUGUCCCUCGCUAAGUGUUUGCCAGCCUGGUUGGAGGAACAACAUGUUUUCAAUUUUCAGCAUGCAAGUAUUGUUGUGCAAUAAAUUGUUCUUGUCUGUUGGUUUUUA
rnacentral:lncRNA from 1 species